UACGGAGGGUGCAAGCGUUAUCCGGAUUCACUGGGUUUAAAGGGUGCGUAGGUGGGCUGGUAAGUCCGUGGUGAAAUCUCCAAGCUUAACUUGGAAACUGCCGUGGAUACUAUUAGUCUUGAAUCUCGUGGAGGUAAGCGGAAUAUGUCACGUAGCGGUGAAAUGCUUAGAUAUGACAUAGAACACCGAUAGCGAAGGCAGCUUGCUACACGAGUAUUGACACUGAGGCACGAAAGCGUGGGGAUCAAACAGG
rnacentral:rRNA from 1 species